GUGCCAGCCGCCGCGGUAAUACGGAGGGUGCAAGCGUUAUCCGGAUUCACUGGGUUUAAAGGGUGCGUAGGCGGGUUGGUAAGUCCGUGGUGAAAUCCCCAAGCUUAACUUGGGAACUGCCGUGGAUACUAUCAAUCUUGAAUAUCGUGGAGGUAAGCGGAAUAUGUCAUGUAGCGGUGAAAUGCUUAGAUAUGACAUAGAACACCAAUUGCGUAGGCAGCUUACUACACGAUCAUUGACGCUGAGGCACGAAAGCGUGGGGAGCAAACAGGAUUAGAUACCCCAGUAGUCC
rnacentral:rRNA from 1 species